UGCAGUCGAGCGGUAGCAGGUCCUUCGGGAUGCUGACGAGCGGCGGACGGGNGAGUAAUGCAUAGGAAUCUGCCCGGUAGUGGGGGAUAACCUGGGGAAACCCAGGCUAAUACCGCAUACGUCCUACGGGAGAAAGGGGGCUUCGGCUCCCGCUAUUGGAUGAGCCUAUGUCGGAUUAGCUAGUUGGUGAGGUAAUGGCUUACCAAGGCAACGAUCCGUAGCUGGUCUGAGAGGAUGAUCAGCCACAUCGGGACUGAGACACGGCCCGAACUCCUACGGGAGGCAGCAGUGGGGAAUAUUGGACAAUGGGGGCAACCCUGAUCCAGCCAUGCCGCGUGUGUGAAGAAGGCCUUCGGGUUGUAAAGCACUUUCAGCGAGGAAGAACGCCUAGCGGUUAAUACCCGCUAGGAAAGACAUCACUCGCAGAAGAAGCACCGGCUAACUCCGUGCCAGCAGCCGCGGUAAUACGGAGGGUGCAAGCGUUAAUCGGAAUUACUGGGCGUAAAGCGCGCGUAGGUGGCUUGAUAAGCCGGUUGUGAAAGCCCCGGGCUCAACCUGGGAACGGCAUCCGGAACUGUCAGGCUAGAGUGCAGGAGAGGAAGGUAGAAUUCCCGGUGUAGCGGUGAAAUGCGUAGAGAUCGGGAGGAAUACCAGUGGCGAAGGCGGCCUUCUGGACUGACACUGACACUGAGGUGCGAAAGCGUGGGUAGCAAACAGGAUUAGNNNNCCUGGUAGUCCACGCCGUAAACGAUGUCGACCAGCCGUUGGGUGCCUAGCGCACUUUGUGGCGAAGUUAACGCGAUAAGUCGACCGCCUGGGGAGUACGGCCGCNAGGUUAAAACUCAAAU
rnacentral:rRNA from 1 species